UCUGUCCGUAAUAUAAUGUCGUCACCUUUCGGAGUACCUAACACCAACUGCCUGAUACUAACAUAAUUAGCCUAAACCCCACUAUCCGUGACACCACUAAAUGUCACGCUCAUUUCAUCACUAAACAAUUGGGUUUUUUUCGUUUACAACCAAGAUACGGACCUCCCCCACUUGAUGUGUCGACCUUAAGUGACCCUGAACCGCCCGAAUAGUUGGUAGCACACUGCAAAAAUAUGGAUUCUGACCACUUUGACAGAGACGAUUGAUCACUGAACUCACCAAGGCCAAGUUAACAAAAAGUUGUCCAUCAGUUUCAGGUGAUCCUACAUAAAAGAAGAUAUUAUGCCCUAGCCUAAACCUACUGCAAGACAGUACAGGACUUGAAUUUUGAACCACCAUGACAAAAGUCCAAAGUGCAUAACCACAGCCAGACAAUCGUUGUUCACUUGUGUUGACAAGAGUUGUUAAGAAUAAAAAAGCACAACCUACCUGAAGAAUAACCCAUUGAUUUGGCCUUAGCCUUGCCCACAUCCAGCAUGGCUUGAUUAAUAUCACAG